rnacentral:rRNA from 1 species
UACGUAGGGGGCAAGCGUUAUCCGGAAUUACUGGGCGUAAAGCGCACGCAGGCGGUUCGCCAAGUUUGGAGUGACAGUUGUCGGCUCAACCGACAAAGGACUUCAAAAACUGGUGAACUUGAGGACGAGAGAGGAACAUGGGACUCCAGGUGUAGUAGUGAAAUGCGUAGAUAUCUGGAAGAACACCAAUGGCGAAGGCAAUGUUCUGGCUCGUUUCUGACGCUCAGGUGCGAAAGCCAGGGGAGCGAACGGG